rnacentral:rRNA from 2 species
AAAUUGAAGAGUUUGAUCAUGGCUCAGAUUGAACGCUGGCGGCAGGCCUAACACAUGCAAGUCGAACGGUAACAGGAAGCAGCUUGCUGCUUCGCUGACGAGUGGCGGACGGGUGAGUAAUGUCUGGGAAACUGCCUGAUGGAGGGGGAUAACUACUGGAAACGGUGGCUAAUACCGCAUAACGUCGCAAGACCAAAGAGGGGGACCUUCGGGCCUCUUGCCAUCAGAUGUGCCCAGAUGGGAUUAGCUAGUUGGUGAGGUAACGGCUCACCAAGGCGACGAUCCCUAGCUGGUCUGAGAGGAUGACCAGCCACACUGGAACUGAGACACGGUCCAGACUCCUACGGGAGGCAGCAGUGGGGAAUAUUGCACAAUGGGCGCAAGCCUGAUGCAGCCAUGCCGCGUGUAUGAAGAAGGCCUUCGGGUUGUAAAGUACUUUCAGCGGGGAGGAAGGUGUUGUGGUUAAUAACCACAGCAAUUGACGUUACCCGCAGAAGAAGCACCGGCUAACUCCGUGCCAGCAGCCGCGGUAAUACGGAGGGUGCAAGCGUUAAUCGGAAUUACUGGGCGUAAAGCGCACGCAGGCGGUCUGUCAAGUCGGAUGUGAAAUCCCCGGGCUCAACCUGGGAACUGCAUUCGAAACUGGCAGGCUUGAGUCUUGUAGAGGGGGGUAGAAUUCCAGGUGUAGCGGUGAAAUGCGUAGAGAUCUGGAGGAAUACCGGUGGCGAAGGCGGCCCCCUGGACAAAGACUGACGCUCAGGUGCGAAAGCGUGGGGAGCAAACAGGAUUAGAUACCCUGGUAGUCCACGCCGUAAACGAUGUCUACUUGGAGGUUGUGCCCUUGAGGCGUGGCUUCCGGAGCUAACGCGUUAAGUAGACCGCCUGGGGAGUACGGCCGCAAGGUUAAAACUCAAAUGAAUUGACGGGGGCCCGCACAAGCGGUGGAGCAUGUGGUUUAAUUCGAUGCAACGCGAAGAACCUUACCUGGUCUUGACAUCCACAGAACUUUCCAGAGAUGGAUUGGUGCCUUCGGGAACUGUGAGACAGGUGCUGCAUGGCUGUCGUCAGCUCGUGUUGUGAAAUGUUGGGUUAAGUCCCGCAACGAGCGCAACCCUUAUCCUUUGUUGCCAGCGGUCCGGCCGGGAACUCAAAGGAGACUGCCAGUGAUAAACUGGAGGAAGGUGGGGAUGACGUCAAGUCAUCAUGGCCCUUACGACCAGGGCUACACACGUGCUACAAUGGCGCAUACAAAGAGAAGCGACCUCGCGAGAGCAAGCGGACCUCAUAAAGUGCGUCGUAGUCCGGAUUGGAGUCUGCAACUCGACUCCAUGAAGUCGGAAUCGCUAGUAAUCGUGGAUCAGAAUGCCACGGUGAAUACGUUCCCGGGCCUUGUACACACCGCCCGUCACACCAUGGGAGUGGGUUGCAAAAGAAGUAGGUAGCUUAACCUUCGGGAGGGCGCUUACCACUUUGUGAUUCAUGACUGGGGUGAAGUCGUAACAAGGUAACCGUAGGGGAACCUGCGGUUGGAUCACCUCCUUACCUUAAAGAA